rnacentral:sRNA from 1 species
AGCUGAUGCACAUGAUGGUCUUCUUCCUCCCAGUACCAUCGCAGCAGCUGUUCCCCUCUGGAGGUUUUAACCUUCACAUCUCAAAGGGCCCUGUUCUUCAGUGGCCCUCUUUU